rnacentral:rRNA from 1 species
AACGCUGGCGGCGUGCCUAAUACAUGCAAGUCGAACGGUCUUUCUAUGGAAGCUUGCUUCCACUGAGAAGAUAGUGGCGAACGGGUGAGUAACACGUGGGGUAACCUGCCCAUAAGAGGGGGGAUAACAUCCGGAAACGGGUGCUAAUACCGCAUAGUUUUCUUGAUCGCAUGAUUGAGAAAGGAAAGACGGCCUUUGUGCUGUCGCUUAUGGAUGGACCCGCGGCGUAUUAGUUAGUUGGUGAGGUAACGGCUCACCAAGACGAUGAUACGUAGCCGACCUGAGAGGGUGAUCGGCCACAUUGGGACUGAGACACGGCCCAAACUCCUACGGGAGGCAGCAGUAGGGAAUCUUCCGCAAUGGACGAAAGUCUGACGGAGCAACGCCGCGUGAGUGAAGAAAAGGUUUUCGGAUCGUAAAACUCUGUUGUCAGAGAAGAACAAGUUGGAGAGUAACUGCUCCAGCCUUGACGGUAUCUGACCAGAAAGCCACGGCUAACUACGUGCCAGCCGCCGC